CGGGUGUAACUCAGUGGUAGAGUGCUUGCUUCCCAAGCAAGAUAUGAGGGUUCGAUUCCCUUCAUCCG
rnacentral:tRNA from 1 species